rnacentral:rRNA from 1 species
GAUGAACGCUGGUGGCGUGCCUAACACAUGCAAGUCGAGCGAUUCUCUUCGGAGAAGAGCGGCGGACGGGUGAGUAACGCGUGGGUAACCUGCCCUGUACACACGGAUAACAUACCGAAAGGUAUGCUAAUACGAGAUAACAUGCUUUUAUCGCAUUGUAGAAGUAUCAAAGCUUUUGCGGUACAGGAUGGACCCGCGUCUGAUUAGCUAGUUGGUGAGGUAACGGCUCACCAAGGCGACGAUCAGUAGCCGACCUGAGAGGGUGAUCGGCCACAUUGGAACUGAGACACGGUCCAAACUCCUACGGGAGGCAGCAGUGGGGAAUAUUGCACAAUGGGCGAAAGCCUGAUGCAGCAACGCCGCGUGAGCGAUGAAGGCCUUCGGGUCGUAAAGCUCUGUCCUCAAGGAAGAUAAUGACGGUACUUGAGGAGGAAGCCCCGGCUAACUACGUG